CGCGGGAUGGAGCAGCUUGGUAGCUCGUCGGGGGCUCAUAACCCGAAGGUCGUCGGUUCAAAUCCGGCUCCCGCAACCA
rnacentral:tRNA from 1 species